rnacentral:lncRNA from 1 species
AAUAACAAAACAAAUACAUGCAAAAUGAGAAUAGGAAUAAGUAGUUAUACCCUUUACAAUGCAAUCCCAAUUCUACUAGCUCUCCAUAGCUUUCCAACAAAGCUUAGAAAUUCCAAAAACCUCUCAACCUCUCACAAAAAAAAAAAAAAAAUGCAAAGAAAAUACAGAGAGAAAAAUCCAGAAAGCCAUCCUCCUCUCUUGUUUCUUGCUCCUAUCUUCCUUUUAAAUAUAAAAAUUUGGUCCUCAGUUAGCCCGACCCAUGCCCUAUCUUCAAUUGUUCCAACUGCUUCCAUGUUACUUUUCCUACUCUUAGAACAAUGCCAAAACAAGACCCAAUCACAAGGAAAUCCAAAGGAAGAAGUAGAAUAUAUGUCACAACCAAAAGGAAUGUGCAAGCCUAAUAAAUAUAAAAAUGAAAGCACAAAUACAAUAAUGUCAACCCAAAUCAAAUUAUGCAACCAAGCCUAAGCCAAUCACAUAUACUGCCAAACAAAACUAAUAUCUCAUGCCUAAACGAUAUGAAAUCCAAAUCAAAUGAAACAAUAACCAAUAAGACCCAAAUCCAUAUCAAGAAAAAUAGACCCAAAAUAUUACAAUGGCAUACCAAAAAAAAGAAGAAGCUUGAAACUCACAAACAACCUAAACUUAACACUAUGCAAAUCAAUAUUAGGAUUUACCUCAUGUUCAAUCUCAAAAUGAAGAAAUGCGGCAUUCAUGUGAAAAGAUGAGGUGGGUGUGAGUGGCUGUGACAAGGCGGAAGAAGUGGAGGAGAAGGGUAGCCAAAUCUAAUGAAAAUGGGGAUCAUCGGAGAAGGGAAAAACGAAUGAACCAACUGUGGGCAUGUUGAUUGUAAGGGCAUGUGGUUGGAGGCAGCUAUGGCAUGGGUAUGAGGGAAAAAAAGAGAAGAAGAAAAUGAAAAGAAAGAAGAAAGAAAAGAAAAGGGGAAAUGAAAGAAAGGAGCGACGAUCAAUGUAGGGGAAAUG